rnacentral:rRNA from 1 species
CCUACGGGGAGCAGCAGUGGGGAAUAUUGCACAAUGGGGGGAACCCUGAUGCAGCGACGCCGCGUGAGUGAAGAAGUAUCUCGGUAUGUAAAGCUCUAUCAGCAGGGAAGAAGAUGACGGUACCUGACUAAGAAGCCCCGGCUAACUACGUGCCAGCAGCCGCGGUAAUACGUAGGGGGCAAGCGUUAUCCGGAUUUACUGGGUGUAAAGGGGGCGUAGGCGGCAGGGCAAGUCUGGAGUGAAAGCCCGGGGCCCAACCCCGGGACUGCGUUGGAAACUGCCAGGCUGGAGUGGGGGAGAGGUAAGCGGAAUGCCUAGUGUAGCGGUGAAAUGCGUAGAUAUUAGGAGGAACACCAGUGGCGAAGGCGGCUUACUGGACAGUAACUGACGUUGAGGCUCGAAAGCGUGGGGAGCAAACAGGAUUAGAUACCCGGGUAGUC